UUUUUGGUUUCCUUUCUGUAACUGAAAAUAAAAUUGCAGCUUAAUGCUAAUGAACCAGGGCUUCCUAAGGUCCCACUGGAAACAUGAGCACAUGUACUGUAGCAAGGCAAGAUUAUUCUGCCACAAGCAUAAUCACCUUACACAAAAUGUGAUUACUCUGGGCUGCAAUCUUUAUCCCCAAAGUCAAUUUAUUAAUCAAACCAGUGGGUAGAAAAUCUUGCCUUGUCUGUCGGGUCCUUAAGGUUUGGUGUGCUUGUUUAUGAGUUUACGAGCAUAGCAUUCCUUC
rnacentral:lncRNA from 1 species